rnacentral:tRNA from 1 species
GGAGGAAUGCCGGAGUGGCCGAACGGGCACGCCUGGAGAGCGUGUAGCCGGCGAAAGCUGGCUCCUGGGUUCGAAUCCCAGUUCCUCCG